UGUGUGAGCCCCGCGACGGAAAAAGCAGUCGAAUCGUCACAGACGCCGCCCACCCCUGCUAUAAUGUUCGGCCGUCGUGUCUUUGCGAGCGCACCGCUCCCACGCCAUAUGUGGGCGAAGAUGCACAUCCAAAACGCGGCCCAGGCGCAGCGCAUGCUGCCCUCUCUCGCCCCUUUGGUCUCGUCUCUGGGUCGCAGCACCAACGUUUUGAACAGCCAGGCGCUCACGCAGGCGCGUGACGGCAUGGCCUCCGAUCCAAGUGCCGCGUCGUUGGAGGAGUUUUCUGUGCGCUGUUUCUCCGGCUCGCUCACGACGGUGAGCUCCAUCGUCUUCGGGCCAGUGAAGUUUACAUUAUCGGUCAGCACACCACUCGUCAGCUUUCUAGAGUUGCUCGAACAACUAAGAAUAAAGCUCAUACAUAGCGAAGGACUGAGGUGUGAGCCCGAAGAGCCCCGCGUCAGCUCCCCAAUUCGCUUCGCCUCCCAGUUGAUUCUCCCUCUCGCUUUGGCCAAGCACUGUCGUGAUGUGCGGAAGAAUGAGAGAAGUGAGCCGGGCUGACAAGGAGUAGUCCCGGAGCACACCCAAGCAUGCACGUGUGUAUGUAUGCGUGUACGCAUUCUCUUUUUCUACGUCUCUUUGCGCGAUUCCUGGUGACGGAGGUACAUCGCACACGGGGUGGUAUCUCAGGACCCAGUGCCCUCCCUCCGCGGGAAAGCGAAGCAGCACCCUUCCCACUCCCCCUCUCUCUCCUAUCCCUGCCAGCUGCAGAGCCGCUACUGCUAUGUCGGCGCUUAGGCCGUGGGUGGGAGCUGCAUUGGAGCCGCCGGCGCCUGUGAACACAUUUGUGCCAUCCAUGUGAUGGGCGAAGUGUCCGCGUGACUCCAACCCAUCUCACCCGGACCCUCACACUGCCCACUGGUGUGGGGGAGCUUGAGCCCCUCUGAGGGGGCCGCACCGCGUGGCGACCACCACAAUGGAAGCGGCUGUGAGGCGAUCUGCGGAGCAGAGUGUGGGUAGAGUGUGAGGCAGGCGCUGUGCUCUGAUAACUGGGUCGGCAUAUUGCUCUGACGUGUGUCUCCUGCUGCCUCGUACCACGCGGAAGGGGCCUGUGACAGGGGCCGGGUGGUGCGGAGUGGCGUGAGCCCUCACGUCGCAUGGCAGAGAGCGAUGAACACACAUGGCGAAGACGUCUUUUUCGCGACUGUCGAUGCAUCACGAGAAAGGAGCCCUUUUACAAAGGGGAAGAAAUAUGCUUGGCCCUUGGAUUGGGCGUGUGUGCGCGUUCGUGUUUCAUGAUUUCCCCACCGCCACCACCAAGAAGAACGUCGUGGGUGUUUCCCACAUGGCAGAGCAUAUGUUUACGCUGUCGGUUGCUAUGAUUGUGUGUGUGUUAAAGAUGCAUAAGCUCUCACAGAGUUGUUUGUUCUUUGUUUUUUUCCCAUGUCUUUUUUUUUCUCUCGUAGUACGCUACGCCUUGUCUUGACCCGUUCGCCAUCUUGGAUGUGGUUUGUGCGUGUGCGCCCCAUGACGUCAUUAUAGGAUACGGUUCAUGCGACCUCCUCAUUGUUGCCAGCUGUGGGCAUAACCUUAGACGCUCUUCUCUUCUCUCUCCUGCCCUCCUCCUCUCCAUUGCCCUGUUAACCGAGCAAGAGAUCUGAGCUGGAUGCGGAGAGGCAGAGAGAGAGAGGUGUGUGGUGUGUGUGUGUGUGUGGUGUGUGGUGGCACGUGCGUGUGUUGCAUAUUUGUCGGUGUUGGUGUUAUGUUGUUUGUUGUUGUUUGGACGGUGUUGUGGUACGUACAAAGCGCAUGCGGGUGGUGUGCGCGGGCUC
rnacentral:misc_RNA from 1 species